GGAGAAGUGGCUGAGUGGUCGAAAGCGCUCCCCUGCUAAGGGAGUAUAGGUAUCCCCUAUCGAGGGUUCGAAUCCCUCCUUCUCCGCCA
rnacentral:tRNA from 2 species